GCUGUGCAACUCCAACCUAGCAGCUGAGGAAGAUGACAGAGGCUGGAAGAUAAGAGUGCCCCCGGUGGAGGUGGGGUGUAGGGGCUUUGUAGCUAGUACAACAGCAAAGUUCUUUAGGGAGCUAAAUCAGGGGACAGGCCUAUAGACAAGCCAUUAAAGAGUUGGCCAACACCGCUGAGAGGAAUGGUCUAUU